GAUGCUCUCAAGAUGCUGUCCCAGGACAUCGGUGCGGUGCUGAAGCUCGUCGAUGCCGUUCUCGACCUCGAGCUUGAGCCGCACCACGGAACGUGAGAUGCAUGCGAUGACGAGAAGCACCCAGGGGGAAGGAAGUUCAUGAAGAUCUCGCUCUUGGCAUUGCUUGGUCUGUGCGUUGUGGUCGAUGCAAGUGG
rnacentral:misc_RNA from 1 species